GACGGGGGGGGGCUAGUGUUAUUCGGAAUGACUAGGCGUAAAGGGCACGUAGGCGGUGAAUCCGGUUGAAAGUGAAAGUCGCCAGCUCAACUGGCGGAAUGCUUUCAAAAACCAAUUCACUUGAGUAAGAUAGAGGAUAGUGGAAUUUCGUGUGUAGAGAUAAAAUUCACAGAUAUACGAAGGAACACCAAAAAGCGAAGGCAGCUUUCUGGGUCUCUACUGACGCUGAGGUGCGAAAGCAUAGGGAGCAAACAGG
rnacentral:rRNA from 1 species